UUGCUUUAGUAGCACAUAUACUAAAAUUGGAAUGAUAGAAGAUAAGUAUGGCCCAUGUGCACAUACAAAUUGUGAAGCAUUCCAUAUUUUU
rnacentral:snRNA from 1 species